UGGGGAAUAUUGGACAAUGGGGGGAACCCUGAUCCAGCCAUGCCGCGUGUGUGAAGAAGGCCUUAUGGUUGUAAAGCACUUUAAGCGAGGAGGAGGGUACUGGUAUUAAUACUACCAGGUACUGGACGUUACUCGCAGAAUAAGCACCGGCUAACUCUGUGCCAGCAGCCGCGGUAAUACAGAGGGUGCGAGCGUUAAUCGGAUUUACUGGGCGUAAAGCGUGCGUAGGCGGCUAAUUGAGUCGGAUGUGAAAUCCCCGAGCUUAACUUGGGAAUUGCAUUCGAUACUGGUUAGCUAGAGUGUGGGAGAGGAUGGUAGAAUUCCAGGUGUAGCGGUGAAAUGCGUAGAGAUCUGGAGGAAUACCGAUGGCGAAGGCAGCCAUCUAGCCUAACACUGACGCUGAGGUACGAAAGCAUGGGGAGCAAACAGG
rnacentral:rRNA from 1 species